rnacentral:rRNA from 1 species
AAUUGCUGUGGUAUUUUGACUAUACAAAGGUAUUGUAAUAAGAUUUUAAUUGAAUGCUAAAAGAAUGGAUUAACAGAUAAAUACUUUCUUUAAUUUAAAAAUUAAAUUUAUUAUUUUUUGUGCAGAAACAAAAAUAAAAAUUAAGGACAAGAAGACCCUAAGAAUUUUAAUUUGAUUUAAAUAAUUUAUAUUUCUUAAUCAAAUUUAAUUGGGGCGAUUGAAAAAUAUUUUUAACUUUUUUUUAAAAAAAAUAUGAACCAUUAAUAAUGGUAAUAUGAAAAAAUACUCUAGGGAUAACAGCGUAAUAAUUUUUGAUAGUUCAUAUAGACAAAAUAGUUUGCGACCUCGAUGUUGGAUUAGGAUUCUAAUUUAAUGAAAAAGUUAAAUUAAGAAGUUUGUUCAACUUUUAAAUUCCUACUU